CAGCAGCCGCGGGAAUACGAAGGGGGCUAGCGUUGCUCGGAAUGACUGGGCGUAAAGGGCGCGUAGGCGGUUUUGACAGUCAGAUGUGAAAUUCCUGGGCUUAACCUGGGGGCUGCAUUUGAGACGUCAAGACUAGAGUGUGAGAGAGGGUUGUGGAAUUCCCAGUGUAGAGGUGAAAUUCAUAGAUAUUGGGAAGAACACCGGUGGCGAAGGCGGCAACCUGGCUCAUUACUGACGCUGAGGCGCGAAAGCGUGGGGAGCAAACAGGAUUAGAUACCCCUGUAGUCCCUGUCUCUUAUAC
rnacentral:rRNA from 1 species